UAUUACUGCAUUACAAGGCUCAAGCAAAAAGGGGGUAUGUACUGUGGCAAGUUAAGCAACGUUGAGUCCAGUUAGUACUUGGAUCGGAGACGGCCUGGGAAUCCUGGAUGUUGUAAGCU
rnacentral:rRNA from 1 species